GACGAACGCUGGCGGCGUGCUUAACACAUGCAAGUCGAACGGUAAGGCCCUUCGGGGUACACGAGUGGCGAACGGGUGAGUAACACGUGGGUGAUCUGCCCUGCACUUCGGGAUAAGCCUGGGAAACUGGGUCUAAUACCGGAUAGGACCCUGGGAUGCAUGUCCUGGGGUGGAAAGCUUUUGCGGUGUGGGAUGGGCCCGCGGCCUAUCAGCUUGUUGGGGGGGUGAUGGCCUACCAAGGCGACGACGGGUAGCCGACCUGGGUGGGUGACCGGCCACACUGGGACUGAGAUGCGGCCCAGACUCCUCCGGGAGGCAGCAGUGGGGAAUAUUGCACAAUGGGCGCAAGCCUGAUGCAGCGACGCCGCGUGAGGGAUGACGGCCUUCGGGUUGUAAACCUCUUUCAGCACCGACGAAGCGCAAGUGACGGUAGGUGCAGAAGAAGGACCGGCCAACUACGUGCCAGCAGCCGCCGCCG
rnacentral:rRNA from 1 species